UACAGAGGUCUCAAGCGUUGUUCGGAUUCAUUGGGCGUAAAGCGCGCGUAGGCGGCUCGGAAAGUCGGGCGUGAAAUGCCGGGGCUCAACCCCGGGACUGCGUCCGAUACUUCCGAGCUGGAGGUAGGUAGGGGAGAUCGGAAUUCCUGGUGUAGCGGUGAAAUGCGCAGAUAUCAGGAAGAACACCAAUGGCGAAAGCAGCUCUCUGGGACGGUACUGACGCUGAGACGCGAAAGCGUGGGGAGCGAACAGG
rnacentral:rRNA from 1 species